rnacentral:rRNA from 1 species
CUUUUGGUUGUAAAGUACUUUAAGCGAGGAGGAGGCUACCUGGAUUAAUACUCUAGGAUAGUGGACGUUACUCGCAGAAUAAGCACCGGCUAACUCUGUGCCAGCAGCCGCGGUAAUACAGAGGGUGCGAGCGUUAAUCGGAUUUACUGGGCGUAAACCGUGCGUAGGCGGCUUUUUAAGUCGGAUGUYAAAUCCCCGAGCUUAACUUGGGAAAUGCAUUCGAUACUGGGAAGCUAGAGUAUGGGAGAGGAUGGUAGAAUUCCAGG